GCACUCUGGUUCCCCUUCAGCACGCACAAGCCUUUCGCCUUUUACUAAAGACUUCCGUGGAGGGGAACGCCGACGAGUGGAACGGUGGUAUUUUGGGAGGCUUUGCCCGAGGGAGGGCA